AUGAACGCUGGCGGCGUGACUAAUACAUGCAAGUCGAGCGAACAGACGAGGAGCUUGCUCCUCUGACGUUAGCGGCGGACGGGUGAGUAACACGUGGAUAACCUACCUAUAAGACUGGGAUAACUUCGGGAAACCGGAGCUAAUACCGGAUAAUAUAUUGAACCGCAUGGUUCAAUAGUGAAAGACGGUUUUGCUGUCACUUAUAGAUGGAUCCGCGCCGCAUUAGCUAGUUGGUAAGGUAACGGCUUACCAAGGCGACGAUGCGUAGCCGACCUGAGAGGGUGAUCGGCCACACUGGAACUGAGACACGGUCCAGACUCCUACGGGAGGCAGCAGUAGGGAAUCUUCCGCAAAGGGCGAAAGCCUGACGGAGCAACGCCGCGUGAGUGAUGAAGGUCUUCGGAUCGUAAAACUCUGUUAUUAGGGAAGAACAAAUGUGUAAGUAACUAUGCACGUCUUGACGGUACCUAAUCAGAAAGCCACGGCUAACUACGUG
rnacentral:rRNA from 1 species